GAUGAAGAACGUAGCGAAAUGCGAUAAGUAAUGUGAAUUGCAGAAUUUCCGUGAGUCAUCGAAUCUUUGAACGCACAUUGCGCCCACUGGUAUUCCGGUGGGCAUGCCUGUUCGAGCGUCAUUAUCCUCCCUCAAACCCCGGGUUUGGUGUUGGACCCAAGUUGUGUGAACAACUGGUCUCAAAGACAAUGACGGCGUCCGUGGGACCCUCGGUGCAACGAGCUUUUAGGAGCACGCAUCGAGUUGCAAGGACCUUCCGGGCCGGUCUCCUUUACCAUUUUACAAGGUUGACCUCGGAUCAGGUAGGAAUACCCGCUGAACUUAAGCAUAUCAAUAAGCGGAGGA
rnacentral:misc_RNA from 1 species